rnacentral:lncRNA from 1 species
UCUUUUUAUUUGUUUAUUGCCUCAUUAAACGAUAUUUAUCAUGUUUAUGCAUAUUGAUUGAAGAUGAAAGGAAAUUAAUCACAAUCUUGAGUUUUCAACAGGUGUUCAUUAUUUACAAUGAUUGUAUAUUCUGGCGCGUGUAAUUGUAUAGUCUGACGCGUGUACAAAGUUGAAGGUGUUAAUUGGAUGUUAUUGUAGCAAUAAAACAGGGGACACACGACUCGUUAAUCUCAUUUGAUGUUCCACAUGUUUGCUUAUCAAAAUGGGACCACCAUGUACAAAAUGUAUAAAUAUUAUGUUAGAUAGGAAUGUACAUAUUACUAUAUAAUGACUUAAAAUAAAAAAUAUAUGGACCCCAAGGUAGAACCACGUCCUCGUCGUGGGGUCUGGAAACACGCUUACAUAAUAAAGAUUGCAAAGCAUGGCUGAGAGUUCUAUAAAUAAAGCAUCGAAUUGACAUAACAAGAG